CUACUUUUAAGCUGUAUAGCAUGCAUAGAUGACAGAGCACAAUCUUCAGACUCAGCUAUCACUCUGGGCUGCAGACUGGAAGACGAUGAAAGGUACUCCCGGUCUUCCUGCCCCCAAAGGCUGCUACCCAUUAGGUAUUUCAUUCAUAUUCUAGGACAUUACUGACAUUCAAGGGGGAAAAGAUAUGGAGCAAGUGGUGGCUCAGACAGGGGAAUGGCUUCAAGUGACUGCAGGACUAGCUCCAGCACACACAUGAUUUGAGGGACACACUUGUAAACAAAGCCUCUCCUGCCUGCCCCCACACCUAAGGCCUAGGAAGUCAUCAUUCAUGUCACCGAGAAGAGUCUGCUUGCAACACACAGAACACCAGCUUUUGGGCUUGGAACAAUCCACAGAGUAGGAAUCUAUUUCUUUAAUUACUUACCACUUGCCUUGGUCUGAAGAUGGAUUUGUACCCUGA